GCUCCGGUAGUAUAGCCAGGACAAGUAUGCGGGCCUUUCGAGCCCGUGACCCGGGUUCAAAUCCCGGCCGGAGCA
rnacentral:tRNA from 1 species